rnacentral:tRNA from 1 species
GGAGGUGACAGGUGCCUGGUGGUGCUCCUGGUCUUCAAAACCAGUGUGGUGGCAUAAUAUGUCCCGUGUGGGUUCGAUUCCCAUUCGCCUCC